rnacentral:rRNA from 1 species
AUUGAACGCUGGCGGCAUGCCUUACACAUGCAAGUCGAACGGUAACACGGACUUCGGUCUGGUGGCGAGUGGCGAACGGGUGAGUAAUGUAUCGGAACGUACCUUUCAGUGGGGGAUAACGUAGCGAAAGUUACGCUAAUACCGCAUAUUCUGUGAGCAGGAAAGCAGGGGAUCGCAAGACCUUGCGCUGAUUGAGCGGCCGAUAUCAGAUUAGCUAGUUGGUGAGGUAAAGGCUCACCAAGGCGACGAUCUGUAGCGGGUCUGAGAGGAUGAUCCGCCACACUGGAACUGAGACACAGUCCAGACUCCUACGGGAGGCAGCAGUGGGGAAUUUUGGACAAUGGGGGCAACCCUGAUCCAGCCAUGCCGCGUGAGUGAAGAAGGCCUUCGGGUUGUAAAGCUCUUUCGGCCGGGAAGAAAUCGCAUAGGUUAAUACCCUGUGUGGAUGACGGUACCGGAAUAAGAAGCACCGGCUAACUACGUGCCAGCAGCCGCAGUAACAC